CCCUGGCAGUCCGGUGGUUAAGAUUUUGCACUUCUAACGCAAGGGGUAUGGGUUCGAUCCCUUGUCAGGGA
rnacentral:tRNA from 1 species